ACCGCAGUACAAAAAAAAUUAGGCUGAUUUUCCUGUCACGCUGACCGCUCGCUGACCGUCGGCGCCGAUAGCGAAAUGUAUGAAAUAUCAGCGCUGACCGCUACGCGUUAUU